GGUCCUCGCCCGCCGGAUGUUGAUGGCGUCGCCUAGCAACGGGAAAUGGCGGAGCAGGGCGACUCGGCCGGCGGGUCUCAUCUGGAAGGUGAAUCAUCUUCUGAAGAAGAGGACCAGAAUAAUGCAAGGGACGGGGUAUCAGCAGUAGAGGAAAGCAGCGACCAGAGAAAUGAAGAAGCUGAGGGUCCUACAGAGCAUUCCAGAAGGGAAAUUGAAAAUGACGGGGAAGUCACAGCCCAGGGGGAGGGUGAAGACGAUGAAGCUGAAAUCCAAGGGGUAAUGGAUUCGGAAGAGGAAUUUGAAUCUGAGGGGAAAUUAGAAUCUGAUAUGGAAGGCAUGGCCCCUGGAGGGAAAGUCAGUUCUUCAGAUCUGGCUUCCUCAAGCUUCGGUCCUGGGGAGGUGCCCGGAGAUGGAGUCGGCCCCCCAUACCCGCCUGAAAGAGCAAGGAAGAAAUCUCAUCUCGAAGACGGAGCGGCCCCACGCUCAUCCACAUCCAGAGGAGCGGGGGUCAUCUCCACAGAGCUCUCCCAGCAAGUGCCAGGCUCAUCUGAGCAAAUGGACCAGGAGUCAGUAAGUAGCCAGGGGUUUGCUUUACAUUCUGCUUUACUGCUCGUUUGA
rnacentral:lncRNA from 1 species